rnacentral:rRNA from 1 species
GCCUUCAUGAAGCCGGAAUUGCUAGUAAUGGCAGGUCAGCAUACUGCCGUGAAUACGUUCCCGGGCCUUGUACACACCGCCCGUCACACCAUGAGAGUUGGGAAUACCCGAAGCCUGUGAGCCAACAAACGAGGCAGCAGUCGAAGGUAGAAUCAAUGAUUGGGGUGAAGUCGUAACAAGGUACC